GACGAACUGUGCAAACGUUAUUCGGAAUCACUGGGCUUGAAGAGUGCGUAGGCGGUUUCGUAAGUAGGGUGUGAAAGCCCUCGGCUCAACCGGGGAAUUGCGUCCUAAACUGCGAGGCUGGAGUGAGGCAGGGGUGUGUGGAACUUCCAGUGGAGCGGUGAAAUGUGUUGAUAUUGGAAGGAACGCCGGUGGCGAAAGCGACACACUGGGCCUUGACUGACGCUGAGGCACGAAAGCCAGGGGAGCAAACGGG
rnacentral:rRNA from 1 species